CUACGGGAGGCAGCAGUAAGGAAUAUUGCGCAAUGGACGAAAGUCUGACGCAGCAACGCCGCGUGCAGGAUGAAGGCCCUCAGGGUCGUAAACUGCUGUAGCAGGGGAAUAACAACUCCCUCGGGGGGUUUGAAGGUACCCUGAAAGUAAGCUCCAGCUAACUACGUGCCAGCAGCCGCGGUAAUACGUAGGGAGCAAGCGUUGUCCGGAUUCACUGGGUGUAAAGGGUGCGCAGGCGGAUUGGCAAGUCAGGGGUGAAAUCUCACGGCUUAACCGUGAAACUGCCUUUGAUACUGCCAGUCUUGAGUUCGGGAGAGGUCGAUGGAAUUCCAGGUGUAGCGGUGAAAUGCGUAGAUAUCUGGAAGAACACCAGUGGCGAAGGCGGUCGACUGGCCCGUAACUGACGCUCAGGCACGAAAGCGUGGGGAGCAAACAGGAUUAGAUACCCUUGUAGUCC
rnacentral:rRNA from 1 species